UUUGCCUACGGGGCGCAGCAGUGAGGAAUAUUGGUCAAUGGACGGAAGUCUGAACCAGCCAUGCCGCGUGCAGGAUGACGGCUCUAUGAGUUGUAAACUGCUUUUGUAUUAGGGUAAACACCCCUACGUGUAGGGGCUUGAUAGUAUAAUACGAAUAAGGAUCGGCUAACUCCGUACCAGCAGCCGCGGUAAUACGGAGGAUCCAAGCGUUAUCCGGAUUUAUUGGGUUU
rnacentral:rRNA from 1 species